rnacentral:misc_RNA from 1 species
GAUGAAGAACGCAGCGAAAUGCGAUAAGUAGUGUGAAUUGCAGAAUUCAGUGAAUCAUCGAAUCUUUGAACGCACAUUGCGCCCCUUGGUAUUCCAUGGGGCAUGCCUGUUCGAGCGUCAUUUGUACCUUCAAGCUCUGCUUGGUGUUGGGUGUUUGUCUCGCCUCUGCGUGUAGACUCGCCUCAAAACAAUUGGCAGCCGGCGUAUUGAUUUCGGAGCGCAGUACAUCUCGCGCUUUGCACUCAUAACGACGACGUCCAAAAGUACAUUUUUACACUCUUGACCUCGGAUCAGGUAGGGAUACCCGCUGAUCUUAAGCAUAUCAAUAAGCGGAGGA